GAUAGCCAGAGGCUUCAAGAGAAUCAAACACCUGGAUUAAACGUUCGUCAAACUCGUUUCUGUGAAAACAGGACAUACCUUUGUUAAUAAUAGUAUAAAAUCCUACAUUUCUACAGCAGACUUCAUAACAUGAAACGAAUGAAUGCGUUUCAUGUUAUGGCGUAUGUGCCUUCUUCACUCGGAAGUGACAGAUCGAAACUUGCUUGACAUGCCUUUCAGUGUUUCCGCAGACAUCUUCCUAGUAGUCAUGUUUGUGAAAAGUACAGCUGUAACAACAAUCGUUCUUUUGUUUACGUUGUAUAUAUUUUCACAUCAGUUACUCAUAGUCAGAAGACACGGACUGAACCCUAUAUUCUUCUCUCAUCUAGUCUAGCUCCAGUUUAGACAACUGGUGUAACUACACUAGUGAAACAACUUAAUACCAACGUGAGAGGUGUGUAUGUAUGUCGGCCGAUUUGUAACUGUUUGUAACCCUGUUUGCACUUUCUGUGAGUUUGCGAUGUUAUUCAUACUCUUUGUUUAUUAUAUUUAGGCUACAGGGCUCUCAAGUUUAAUCAAAAGUUUGGCGUGAGAUUACCAUACCUGUCAACGUUUGGGACGCAUUUGUUUCCCGAAGAUGAUAGCCAGUACAGCCAACUAUUUGUGGUGUGUUGAUGAUGUACUGGGUCAUGGAGCAACAGCCAGUGUUUUUAAAGCACGCAAAAAGAGAACCGGUGAACAUGUGGCAGUUAAGGUGUUUAAUGAGGUGAGCUACCAUCGUCCAUUAGAAGUCCAGAUGAGAGAGUUUGAAAUGCUCAGGAGACUCAACCAUAACAACAUUGUCAAGCUGUUUGCUGUUGAGGAGCUGGCAUCUAAGCAGAAGGUACUGAUUAUGGAGUAUUGUUCUGGGGGCAAUCUGCUGGGUCUCUUAGAGGAGCCAGAACAUUCCUUUGGACUGCAGGAGCUGGAGUUCCGUACAGUACUAGAGUGUGUAGUCAAUGGAAUGACCCAUCUACGGGAGAACGGGGUGGUGCACAGGGACAUUAAGCCUGGCAACAUCAUGCGUCAGGUUGCAGAGGACGGGAGAUCCAUCUAUAAACUCACUGACUUUGGAGCGGCGAGGGCACUGGACGAUGAUGAGAAGUUUGUAUCCAUCUAUGGAACAGAGGAGUAUCUCCACCCAGACAUGUAUGAACGUGCAGUGCUACAUAAGCCCCAACACAAGACCUAUGGCGUGUGUGUGGACCUGUGGAGUAUUGGAGUGACGUUUUACCACGCUGCCACUGGCUCUCUACCCUUCAUACCCUUUGGUGGAGCCCGUAGAAACAAACUUGUCAUGUUCAAGAUAACCACAGAGGUCCCUGCUGCAGCCAUUUCUGGAGUACAGAGAGUGGAGGAUGGACCCAUCGAGUGGGGCUACAACCUACCACACAACUGCCAACUCUCACAGGGUCUGAGGGUGCAGUUGGUGCCAAUGCUGGCUGCUAUUCUGGAGCCUGACCAGGGGAGGUGCUGGGUUUUCGACCAGUUCUUCUCUGCCGCCACAGACAUACUGCAGCGUGUGACAGUCUACGUCUUCUCCCUAAUGCAGGCCUCUGCACAUGUGAUAUACAUACACCACUACAGCACGGUGUCCAUCUUCUAUGAGGAGGUAGCGGCACAGACUGCGGUGCAAGUGGAACUACAGCACUACCUCUUCCUGGGUCAUGACCUCUUGCUGGAGCCCUCCAUGAAAGUGGUGAACUUCCCCCCCACCUCCCCCUCCCAGCCCCUAAUACUGCUCAGUCGUGGGACAGAGACACACACAGGACUGCCUCACAGAGAGCCGGACACUUUUCCCAUCCCGUCCAAGUUUGACGUUGUGACAGACUCCCACUUCUCCAGGGUGAUGGUAGGAGUGGUUCAUCAGUAUCUGAGGAUGGUUAAUGCCUUGCAUCAAAACAGAGAACAGUUACUACAAGGAUACUAUAGCUAUAUGAUGAAAAUGCGCAAGGAAUGUGGUGAUGCCAUACUCAUCAUAAGGAUGCUCAACAUGAGACUAAAACCUUGCAUCGACACAGAAUAUAGGCUGCAUAACCAAGUCAAGCACACCUCCGACCCUCCAAGCUCCAACGACAACAACCAGAAGAUGCGUCGGAUCCAAGACCUCCUCCCUGUGUAUGAUGCUGGGAUCAGAGACUUCCAGAACCACCUGGAGCACCUGCACGUGGAACUGGCCAAAUAUUUUGAGGGCCUGGCCCUGGACAAGAGCCGGCAGAGGAUGAAGACCCUGCUGGAGAAGAUCAUGGCCAUUCACCAGCAGUACCGCAAGGACAGACUUAAUGGCAAGCUUUCAUACAAUGAUGAGCAGAUCCACAAGUUUGAAAAGAUCCAGCUGUCUACACACAUCAGACGUGUAAAGGGGCUGUACAGAGUCGACUGUCUACAGAAGUACAAAGACCUACUGACCUCAGCUACAACAUGGAGCAGCAUUCUCCAUAACAUGCAGAGUAGGCUGGAAGACUUUGGCCAUUUGUCACAAGGGCUGAUGGCUGACCUAGAGAUGUUUGAGGAACACCAGAACAAGGUCCUCGACAACAUCCUGCUCCAGCCUAAUGGAGCAAAACAAGAGGCAGCAGAACCUUCGAGGGACAAGGACCAAAUGGUCCUCAGGAUGUACCAUCUGAAAGAGGAGAUGGAGAUUCUGGUGGGGGAACUACAGUGCAACAAUAGCAUCAUAGAGAGGUUGGGUACACCAGCACCAGCCGCAUUGAAGCCUGAUCUAGCAUGACUACACUGUGAUCCCAUGACUCCACUCCACUAGCACACGUCCUUAUCAAACAAAGGGAAAUAAAGGGAUAUUACCCAGCUCAACAUCUGAUCACAAAGGGACCAAAAAAGUGGUGUUCAUCUGGUAGUUUGCCAUGCUGUUUAUGUCAUACAGUAUAUUAGUAAAAAGAAGAAAUGGGAACCUCCAGUACGUCAUUGACCUUCUGAUGAAACCGGAGGGGAGGGGAGAACCCAGGGAAAGUCACAGAGAAAUGAAGGUCAACAUCAGGGAACAACAAAAGCACAUGCAUGACAUCAGACACGGAUUCGUAAUCUACAUUAUUAUGUUUGACGAAUGUUCAGUUUCUUUUGAAUUUAAUUGAUAUUAAAUGGCCACAUGGUGGCUGAUGAAAAACAAAAAUACU